UGGCUAACUAAAGAGUUCUGUGUUGCUUUCUUCUUUAAAUGUAAUGGAUGUUAUUGUGUAAAAGUAUGGGAUAAUAUUUGUAUUGUUGCGGUAGGGUUGUUUCUCUUUUUUUUUUCUAACCAAUAGUUUCAAAGAAGAGAAGAGCAUCUUCUUCUAUAGAGAAAUUGAAAUCGUAAGAACCUUUCUAUUCUACUAUUCCAAAAGUAAAGAUGUUCUUGGGAUAAAGUCAGUACAAUGCAUAAUUUCAACAUGUCCUUGUGGGAUGAUGGGAAAGAGCCUCUUUGUGUGCCUGUCUAUGUAGUUUGCUGCUUGACAGAUAUCUCAAGAGUCGCCAUAUGCAGUACGAAGAAUUGGACAACGUACUAUCGGAUCUUCAUCGGUUUUCAGGUGAGAAUUAUUUUUGAUGAGUUUCAGAGUACUUCAAGAAGUUGGAAAACAACCUUUGGUCUAGGAGAAAGUCCUACCAAUUGUGAGUGAAUCCAUUAAAGAAUGAAAUUGGCUGAUGUGAUUGGAAAGAGAAAUGUUUAGAAAUAUGUGGGAUGUGGGAGACCUGUCGUUUGCUUUAUGAUUCACAGGCUGAGGAUUUCUUCAGGGGACAACUGGCUAACUAAAGAGGUCUGUGUUGCUUUCUUCUUUAAAUGUAAUGGAUGUUAUUGUGUAAAAGUAUGGGAUAAUAUUUGUAUUGUUGCGGGAGGGUUGUUUCUCUUUUUUUUUUCUAACCAAUAGUUUCAAAGAAGAGAAGAGCAUCUUCUUCUAUAGAGAAAUUGAAAUGUAAGAACCUUUCUAUUCUACUAUUCCAAAAGUAAAGAUGUUCUUGGGAUAAAGUCAGUACAAUGCAUAAUUUCAACAUGUCCUUGUGGGAUGAUGGGAAAGAGCC